UAAGGAACAGGAGAUUCUCGUUUCGUUUAAACUCUUGAUAUUUGCAUCAAACAUUUCUGAGUAAAGUUUGUUCAAUGCAGAAAUAUUAUUUCAGUCUUUAUUGGUGCCAUGGUACUUGUAUAGAAAAGGAAUUGUCAUUGGGCUGUUGGAGAGGCAGUGGAAUAGGGCUUCAUUGAAGCAUAGGUUUUCACACUAUUCUAAAUUGUUAAUGUUUUGGGGAAAAGUUCUUAGACCUAUUGAUUUGAUUUUGAACUAGGGUUUAAUAUUCAAGGUGUCUUUGUUCUUUUGAACAAUAUAUAUUUAUUACAGGGUAGAAGGAGAAUGAUGUUAGUGUAUGGGUGGUAAAAAACCAAAAGGAUCUUGUAGUGAAUUGUAUCUGAUGAAAGCUUUUGCCUUUAGGUAAAAUGUGUUACUGUAGUGGGAAAAGGUACUGCCAGACUCUUCCUGAUAUCUGUUUCAUGAAAUUGAUACUUGGACAAUGGAAAUUGAUUCUCUACACUGAACUUAUUGCUAAGAGACUUAUCCUUCAACAUUGCAUUUGCAAGCUGCCCAGAGUCACCUGACAGUGAGAUGGGUGUCGUGUGUGUGUGUAAAUAAAAAACAACAACAACAUUCAAAAUUGGAUUGCUGUCAGAACAGGGAAGAACAUCAUCAACAGGAUGUGCUGAAUCUUCCUCUCUUCAGUUUCUUUUUUCUUGUUCUAAAUAUUGAUACUGCGAUGGAAUCUACUCUGUGAGAUGGAUUAAUGAUUUGCAUGCAGGAAGAGGCUAAGAAGAAUCUUCCCUAAUUCUUCGAAGCAUUUAUCAGAUUAGUUAUGCAAAGUGCCUUAGUCUGACAAGAUUCCUGUCUAUGGGUGAACUGCAAUAAAGAAACUACUUGAGCAAUUUCUUACGUCAUCUUGAGUUUCCUGCACCUGACAUUAAUUUUGCCAUGCUCCA